rnacentral:lncRNA from 1 species
GCACUUCCCAACAGCAUUACUGAUUGGGCAUCAAGCAUUUAAUACAUGGACAUUUUGGGUAUAUUUUAGAUCCAAGCUCUAGCACCAUGAUUUUAACCAAUUAAUAAAAGAACCAGGAGGAUAGUAGACCAGUCCAAAAUGCAUUUGAGAAACCAGAUUUAGAUAGGUAAUUGAAUUGAUUUCUACCUUAAAUAUUAGCUAACUCUCUAGAAGGGCCAGGUGUAUAAUCCUUGGAUUUCUUCUGGAUAGAAAUUGUCUCCCAGCAGGAUAAAUACACAGUGGCAAAGUUUAUUUGAAAAAGUAACAGUGAAGCGUGAGGAAGAAACUGGCUCUGCCGAGCAAGCUUGGACCGAGGAAAGGAGGACAAAGCAAGAUAAAAGUACACCCUGGAGGAAGCAGGGUGAGGUAUUGUG